rnacentral:rRNA from 1 species
UACGUAGGGUGCAAGCGUUAAUCGGAAUUACUGGGCGUAAAGCGUGCGCAGGCGGUUGUGCAAGACAGAUGGGAAAUCCCCAGGCUCAACCUGGGAAUUGCAUUUGUGACUGCACGGCUAGAGUGUGUCAGAGGGGGGUAGAAUUCCACGUGUAGCAGUGAAAUGCGUAGAGAUGUGGAGGAAUACCGAUGGCGAAGGCAGCCCCCUGGGAUAACACUGACGCUCAUGCACGAAAGCGUGGGGAGCAAACAGG